GUGAGCCGUGUGCGGGAGAACCGCACGCACGGUUCGACGGGCGGGGACUGGAAACGGAGCGCUUUGGCCAGGGACACGAAGAAGAACAGUCGAAGGGGAAACCGUUCGGCUCAUCGCGGCUUCGUGACCUACCGUCAGAAUCUGCCACCGCGCCAGCCCCCGACCCUAC
rnacentral:ncRNA from 1 species